rnacentral:rRNA from 1 species
GACGAACGCUGGCGGCGUGCCUAAUACAUGCAAGUCGAGCGGACCAUUUCGGUGGUCAGCGGCGGACGGGUGAGUAACACGUGGGCAACCUGCCUGUAAGACUGGGAUAACACCGGGAAACCGGUGCUAAUACCGGAUAAUCCUUUCCUUCACAUGAGGGAAAGCUGAAAGACGGUUUCGGCUGUCACUUACAGAUGGGCCCGCGGCGCAUUAGCUAGUUGGUGAGGUAACGGCUCACCAAGGCAACGAUGCGUAGCCGACCUGAGAGGGUGAUCGGCCACCCUGGGACUGAGACACGGCCCAGACUCCUACGGGAGGAAGCAGUAGGGAGUCUUCCGCAAUGGACGAAAGUCUGACGGAGCAACGCCGCGUGAGCGAUGAAGGCCUUCGGGUCGUAAAGCUCUGUUGUCAGGGAAGAACAAGUACCGGAGUAACUGCCGGUACCUUGACGGUACCUGACCAGAAAGCCACGGCUAACUACGUGCCAGCCGCCGCGGUAACAC